UGGGGAAUUUUGGACAAUGGGCGCAAGCCUGAUCCAGCCAUGCCGCGUGCGGGAAGAAGGCCUUCGGGUUGUAAACCGCUUUUGUCAGGGAAGAAAUCUUCUGAGUUAAUACCUCGGGAGGAUGACGGUACCUGAAGAAUAAGCACCGGCUAACUACGUGCCAGCAGCCGCGGUAAUACGUAGGGUGCAAGCGUUAAUCGGAAUUACUGGGCGUAAAGCGUGCGCAGGCGGUUUUGUAAGACAGAGGUGAAAUCCCCGGGCUCAACCUGGGAACUGCCUUUGUGACUGCAAGGCUUGAGUGCGGCAGAGGGGGAUGGAAUUCCGCGUGUAGCAGUGAAAUGCGUAGAUAUGCGGAGGAACACCGAUGGCGAAGGAAUCCCCGUGGGCCUGCACUGACGCUCAUGCACGAAAGCGUGGGGAGCAAACAGGAUUAGAU
rnacentral:rRNA from 1 species